rnacentral:snoRNA from 14 species
UAUUGGUCAUAUGAUGAUAAUUUCCGUGCACCACUCUGAGUUUAGUGUUGAUUAUGGUUAUCUGAUGCAUU